GAUGAACGCUAGCGGCAGGCCUAACACAUGCAAGUCGAGGGGUAGAAGGAGCUUGCUCCUUUGAGACCGGCGCACGGGUGCGUAACGCGUAUGCAAUCUACCUUGUACAGGGGAAUAGCCCAGAGAAAUUUGGAUUAAUGCCCCAUAGUAUAUAACCUUCGCAUGUUGGUUAUAUUAAAGUUCCAACGGUACAAGAUGAGCAUGCGUCCCAUUAGUUAGUUGGUAAGGUAACGGCUUACCAAGACGAUGAUGGGUAGGGGUCCUGAGAGGGAGAUCCCCCACACUGGUACUGAGACACGGACCAGACUCCUACGGGAGGCAGCAGUGAGGAAUAUUGGUCAAUGGUCGCAAGACUGAACCAGCCAUGCCGCGUGCAGGAAGACGGUCCUAUGGAUUGUAAACUGCUUUUAUACAGGAAGAAACCCUCCCACGUGUGGGAGCUUGACGGUACUGUAGGAAUAAGGAUCGGCUAACUCCGUGCCAGCAGCCGCGGUAAU
rnacentral:rRNA from 1 species